UACGUAGGGUGCGAGCGUUGUCCGGAAUUAUUGGGCGUAAAGGGCUCGUAGGCGGUCUGUCGCGUCGGGAGUGAAAACUCAGGGCUUAACCCUGAGCCUGCUUCCGAUACGGGCAGACUAGAGGUAUGCAGGGGAGAACGGAAUUCCUGGUGUAGCGGUGAAAUGCGCAGAUAUCAGGAGGAACACCAGUGGCGAAGGCGGUUCUCUGGGCAUUACCUGACGCUGAGGAGCGAAAGUGUGGGGAGCAAACAGG
rnacentral:rRNA from 1 species